rnacentral:rRNA from 1 species
AACGAACGCUGGCGGCAGGCCUAACACAUGCAAGUCGAGCGAGGACUUCGGUUCUAGCGGCGGACGGGUGAGUAACGCGUGGGAAUGUGCCCUUCUCUACGGCAUAUCCCUGGGAAACUGGGAGUAAUACCUUAUACGCCCUUUUGUGGAAAGAUUUAUCGGAGAAGGAUCAGCCCGCGUUGGAUUAGGUAGUUGGUGGGGUAAUGGCCUACCAAGCCGACGAUCCAUAGCUGGUUUGAGAGGAUGAUCAGCCACACUGGGACUGAGACACGGCCCAGACUCCUACGGGAGGCAGCAGUGGGGAAUCUUAGACAAUGGGGGCAACCCUGAACUAGCCAUGCCGCGUGAGUGAUGAAGGCCUUAGGGUUGUAAAGCUCUUUCAGCUGGGAAGAUAAUGACGGUACCAGCAGAAGAAGCCCCGGCUAACUCCGUG